UACUGCUUCUGCAGCCGUGUAUUGAAGCUGGUACAAUGCAGAGAUUACCACAGCCCCUGCACAACGAUGACACACAAGUCCUUAGAGCAUUCCAUUUUUUA
rnacentral:snRNA from 1 species